rnacentral:lncRNA from 1 species
AUAUAUAUAUAUAUGAGUGGGCUAGUAUGCUUAUGGAAGCACGGAGCCCUCCGUGCUUCUAAGUUGUUUUUGAUGUUAGGACUUUCGAAUUGACGAUCGGCUCCGUUAGAGUUGAUCUAGAGUAUUUGAAGUACCUAGAAAAUAAAUUUUGUGAUUUUCGAUAUCAUUUGCCUAGUGAUCGAAGGGGCUCAAAAUCAAUAAUUUUAAUGGCCGUGGUGAGCCGGUUGCAAGUUUAAUGGUGUAGAAAUAUUCAAAUCACAUGAAAUUUUGAUAGAAAAUUCUUUAUACCAUAUAAAACAAGAUCAAUAACUUUGAUCUAAAAUUUUAAUGUCAUAUCAUCAUGUAAGAUUUUUAUUUUCAGCCGUUGAUUUGGAGCCACUUCGAUCACUAGGCAAAUGAUAUCGAAAAAUCGCAAAAUUUAUUUUCUAGAUACUUCAAAUACUCUAGAUCAAGUCUAACGGAGCCGAUCGUCGAUUUGAAAGUCCGAACAUCGAAAACAAAGUAGAAGCAUGGAGCCCUCCGUGCUUCCAUAAGCAUCAUAGCCGCACUCUCUCUCUCUCUCUCUCUCUCUCUCUCUCUCUCUCUCUAUAUAUAUAUAUAUACUUUUGCACCAAUGUAUUCUGGUUGUGUUAUUUAUUAUAUAUAUUUUUUACCAAAUCUUUCUACUCUGUUGAUAUAAUUACUGCUAAUUUUCAAAAAAAAAAAAGAUUUUGAACUGUGUCAUCCGCAUAAGGGUUGUAUUGUGUCAAUAUCUUGUCUAUACUGUACGGCACAGCGAACACGACAUGUAACGACGGAC